GAUUCAGCGGCGGACGGGUGAGUAAUGCCUAGGAAUCUGCCCGAUAGUGGGGGACAACGUUUCGAAAGGAACGCUAAUACCGCAUACGUCCUACGGGAGAAAGUGGGGGAUCUUCGGACCUCACGCUAUCGGAUGAGCCUAGGUCGGAUUAGCUAGUUGGUGAGGUAAUGGCUCACCAAGGCGACGAUCCGUAACUGGUCUGAGAGGAUGAUCAGUCACACUGGAACUGAGACACGGUCCAGACUCCUACGGGAGGCAGCAGUGGGGAAUAUUGGACAAUGGGCGAAAGCCUGAUCCAGCCAUGCCGCGUGUGUGAAGAAGGUCUUCGGAUUGUAAAGCACUUUAAGUUGGGAGGAAGGGCUGUCGGCUAAUACCCUGCAGUUUUGACGUUACCAACAGAAUAAGCACCGGCUAACUUCGUGCCAGCAGCCGCGGUAAUACGAAGGGUGCAAGCGUUAAUCGGAAUUACUGGGCGUAAAGCGCGCGUAGGUGGUUCAGCAAGUUGGAUGUGAAAGCCCCGGGCUCAACCUGGGAACUGCAUCCAAAACUACUGAGCUAGAGUACGGUAGAGGGUGGUGGAAUUUCCUGUGUAGCGGUGAAAUGCGUAGAUAUAGGAAGGAACACCAGUGGCGAAGGCGACCACCUGGACUGAUACUGACACUGAGGUGCGAAAGCGUGGGGAGCAAACAGGAUUAGAUACCCUGGUAGUCCACGCCGUAAACGAUGUCAACUAGCUGUUGGGUUCCUUGAGAACUUAGUAGCGAAGCUAACGCGAUAAGUUGACCGCCUGGGGAGUACGGCCGCAAGGUUAAAACUCAAAUGAAUUGACGGGGGCCCGCACAAGCGGUGGAGCAUGUG
rnacentral:rRNA from 1 species